AGUGAACGCUGGCGGCGUGCUUAACACAUGCAAGUCGAACGAGAACGGAUUAUAGCUUGCUAUAAUUGUCAGCUAAGUGGCGCACGGGUGAGUAAUGUAUAGGUAAUAUGCCUCUUACUAAGGGAUAACAAAUGGAAACGUUUGCUAAUACCUUAUACUCCUUAUUAACAGAAGUUAAUAAGGGAAAGAUUUAUUGGUAAGAGAUUAGCCUGUAUUGUAUCAGUUAGUUGGUGGGGUAAUGGCUUACCAAGACUAUGAAACAUAACUGGUUUGGGAGGAUGAUCAGGCACACUGGAACUGAGACACGGUCCAGACUCCUACGGGAGGCAGCAGUGGGGAAUAUUGCACAAUGGACGAAAGUCUGAUGCAGCAACGCCGCGUGGAGGAUGACACAUUUCGGUGCGUAAACUCCUUUUAUAUGAGAAGAUAAUGACGGUAUUAUAUGAAUAAGCACCGGCUAACUCCGUGCCAGCAGCCGCCGUAA
rnacentral:rRNA from 1 species